GGACCCGCACAAGCAGCGGAGCAUGUGGUUUAAUUCGAAGCAACGCGAAGAACCUUACCAAGGUUUGACAUCCCCUUGACCAGUGCAGAGAUGUACUCUCUCCUUCGGGAGCAAGGGAGACAGGUGGUGCAUGGUUGUCGUCAGCUCGUGUCGUGAGAUGUUGGGUUAAGUCCCGCAACGAGCGCAACCCUUAUCCUUAGUUGCCAGCAAGUAAAGUUGGGCACUCUAAGGAGACUGCCGGUGAUAAACCGGAGGAAGGUGGGGAUGACGUCAAAUCAUCAUGCCCCUUAUAUCUUGGGCUACACACGUGCUACAAUGGUCGGUACAACGGGCAGCGAAAGAGCGAUCUGGAGCAAAUCCCAAUAAACCGAUCCCAGUUCGGAUUGUAGGCUGCAACUCGCCUACAUGAAGUCGGAGUUGCUAGUAAUCGCGAAUCAGAACGUCGCGGUGAAUGCGUUCCCGGGUCUU
rnacentral:rRNA from 1 species